AUCGCUUUGCGGCUGAAAUGGCCAAGAUCAAAGUGUAGUAUCUGUUCUUAUCAGCUUAAUAUCUGAUACGUCCUUCAUUGUGACAUCGAUAUUAAACUGAUUUUUGGUUGUGGGCAAAGUGAGAGCUUGCUUCUCCUUGCCACGGGUUGACCUGGUAUUGCAGUACUUCCAGGACUGGCCCACUCCCC